rnacentral:rRNA from 1 species
UAAUACGUAGGGUGCGAGCGUUAAUCGGAAUUACUGGGCGUAAAGCGUGCGCAGGCGGCGUCGCAAGUCAGGCGUGAAAUCCCCGAGCUUAACUUGGGAAUUGCGCUUGAAACUACGAUGCUCGAGUGUGGCAGAGGGAGGUGGAAUUCCACGUGUAGCGGUGAAAUGCGUAGAGAUGUGGAGGAACACCGAUGGCGAAGGCAGCCUCCUGGGCUAACACUGACGCUCAUGCACGAAAGCGUGGGGAGCAAACAGG